CGCGGCUUCUGCACAUCCUUCUUGCAUCGUUCUUAUACCGUUGCGUCGCAAACGUGUGAUCGUCUUGAUAACCGAUUAAAAAAUUGAAGCCGUAACAUCCGUAUUAUCUCAGGGCGUUUGGGACAGAAUCGUAAAAGUAUGAAGUGCCUAUUGACGAUCGUCGUUCUCGUGACUAUUGCCUCGAUCAUUAAGGCAGAAACAUUCAGAGUCACCGAUCAAAUAUACUUUGAUAUCAUGAUUGAUAAUCAUCCAGUCGGCAGGAUUGUUAUUGGCCUGUUCGGCGAUAUUGCGCCAAAAACGGUGAAAAACUUUAUCACUUUUGCUACCACCGGUGUAGCCGGGAAAAAAUAUGCAGGGACGAAAUUCCAUCGCGUGAUAAAAAAGUUCAUGAUUCAAGGUGGUGACGUCGAAAAUGGCGAUGGUACCGGUUCUAUUAGUAUCUAUGGCAAAUAUUUCGACGAUGAAACUUUUGAGGUGAAACACAGCGGGCCACUGUUCGUCAGCAUGGCAAACGCUGGAAAGAAUACCAACGGUUGCCAAUUUUUCAUUACUACUAUAGCAACACCUUGGCUAGACGAUCACCAUACAGCAUUUGGAAAAGUAGUUAGCGGUGAAGCUGUGGUUUUCAAGAUUGAACAGAUCAAAACGGAUAGCGAUGAUAUUCCACUUGUGCCUGUAAUAAUUUACGAUAGCGGAAUUCUUCCAACGGAGCCAUUUACUAUAUCAGAUAAUCCUUACGAGUAAUUUAAUAUUAUCGAUGUGACCUUAAUGUUACUAAUUUGUUCCCUUCUUCGAGCCUAUAGUGCUACGUUGCGCUCUCUUUUAUUAAUUACAAACUGUACGUUGACAAUUAUCUUUGCAUAAUUUGAGAGGCGUAGUUAUCACAAUAAUGAUUAAUUACUUAAUUGAGUAACAUUAGAUGAUGUAUAUGAAGUUGCCUAUAAAUAUUUUUACACGCUUCGAUAGCUUUAUAGGCUUUCCUGCGCACAGUUACAAUUUGUGUUAUUUUUCCAGACACCAUUUAUAUUCUUGAUUGUUUUAUGCUAUGAUUGCGCAAAUGAAAAGACUGCUGAAUAAACAUAAAUGUAAAGUAAACGUAAAAAUUGCAAUACGCUGGCAAGUGCAUGGGCGUGGAUUAAGGCGACUUGCGUACCAUUGGGAUUUAGCUUCUCGAUACUAGCGGUUUUCCAUUACAUGAUGAAACAGUUGGA